AUGGCCUAGUUAGGAGAAAAGAGGAAGAGAAAGAAGAGAGGAUCUUCAACAAAGCUGGACUUUCCAGGUCAGACGAUUUAAAGAUGAGGUCUUCGGUGACUUUCCUAGGUGUUGCUAAGCUAAAGGGAGCCUUGAGACUGACAAUAUCCUAACACGCCUAGGAAUGGGGUGCAGGGCAGACAGUGUCUGGCUCUUCAGUGUCUGGGAAACCCCUCCUCCCCACCCCAUCUUCUCUGUAGAGAAUGAAACAGACCAUGUGUUUGGCAAGUCAGGUCUAGAAUACUGCUCCUCAAUGGUGAGAGAGCUGGCCUCCCUCAGACCUCUGCUUUCUUAUUCUUUGGAGCUCUCCUCAUCCCAUGUUCUCAGGGAGACCUUUCCCCUGGAGACCUUAACGCAAUUUUCCCAAGGCCGGGCAGUCCCUUCUUGGCAGGUGGCAGCCAGCUGAAGAGGGAGCACUUCACUUACAGUCCACGGUAAGGACUUAACACUGUCUGCAGUUGGUCCCUGAAGUCCUAGGGCCAAUAGGCAGGCUCAAAACCCUGCGCUGCGGCACCAGCAGCUGCUUCCAAGUAGCUAUCAAGGCUUUUCCAAAUUGUUUUCAUCUUUCUAACUGAGCAAGGCCAGAUUCUAGUUUCACAGGGAAAGUCCUGAUGGGAACUUAGACUACGGACAAGCUAAGAGCCAGUUCUAAGAAAAUUUGUUGGCAAGACCCAAACCUGAGCAGAGAGUUGCCAGGAAACUGUUAUAGGAGAACUUGAAGCUCUGCAGACUGGGAGCAGCCUUCGACUUUGCCUCGAGGCCCUCCUUGCAAAUUCUUAGCCUGCCCAGAGGGGCCAAAAAGGACUGGGAGGGGUCUGGCAGUCUUUGUCAACAAAUGGCUCUAGCAAGUUGCUGGGGUGAGGGGGGGUAGGGGUCCUCCUGGUUCAGGGGUUCAUGGGGGGCAGGAAUUCUUUGCUGUUCUCUUCUUGGUUCGGAGACAGGGCUAUAUCCUAGCCCUCUUCCUUCCCAGGGAUCCUCAGAGCAGUGCCCUGAGUCACCUGCUGCUGCACAGCUCUCAUCAAAAGCACCAGGAGUGUGGACGUAAAAAUCCAUUCUAGCUCAUGGCUUCUGGGGCAUUUCCUCUAUAUAGCACCUCAUGUAGCCAUGUACACAAAGACAGAGUCCCUGCUACCUUCUGUCUGCAAGCUGUUCACUGUGGGCUCCUGACCUGUAGCCCAGUAACGACUCAACUUCAAGGUCCCCAACUCACAGCCCAGUGCCUUUUCUCCUACUCAGCCAUUUGCCACAGAGGCUGGCGCUCUGAUGAAUGAUAUGAACAAAAAAGAAACAGGUGCUGCCUCUGCCCUGGGACUCAGUCACAGAGUUCUAUUUCCAGCUCUGCUCUGGCCAGGCAUGGAGACCUUGAUGUAGAAAGGAUGAAGGGCUCCUCCCACCCCACCCGCUCCUGCUGCACAGUCACUGGGAAACAAGCCUUGUGGGGGCCUGGCAGGGCGGAUUUCUGAGCAAUGCUUGGCAUUUCCCCAAGAGCCAGCCCCUCUGGCCUCACACCUUUGGGAGGAGUCCAGUGAUGGAUGCCAUCCGACGCCUGCAGCAGUAGAAACUCAAUUGCAGUGUUGUCCACCUUGGGAAUGAGGCGUCUUCGGAAGAUGAUCAACCCACAUGCUCUCAGGGCCAUGGUCUAUCUGAGGACUUAACAAAGAAGAUGUGGGACAUUGGGAAGUUACAGAAAACAGGAAGCUCCACACUGGAGGGCAGCACUCUGGUGCUCGGGAGUGGCACGGACCAGCUAACAGUGACCUCAUCGCCUACAGAAAAAGGCAGCAUGCCAAGGACUAAUGGGGAUUAACCAGGAAUCAGGGACGAGCCUUUGUAACUGCAGGACCCUGGUCCCUACCCUGUCAGUGUGGCUCUAUCCCGGCUCCUCCAGGUCUCCCCGCUAAAACACAAGGCUGGUGUGUGUGUGUGUUAAGAGACUGGAGAUCCUCAAAAGCAAACCGCUGAAGCUGGGGAUUUGCUGGGAAUGGGAGAGAUGCAGUAGAACAGUAUCAUCAAAUCCACAUUCCCAUUUCCCUCAGCCUCCCACCUGAUUCUGGAGCAAAGACCCCCACAAUGUGGUUUCUGACGGCUCACAGGGGUCACUUCCAGAGUAGCUUGGUGUACCAAAAACUUUUUUGUUAUUGAUUUUUUUUAGCCUUUAAUCCUUGUUUUGGAAUGUUACACAAUUCACAUGGUUCAAAAUUCAAAGUACAAAAGAGCAUAUAUAGUAGAAAGCCUCUUCUCCACCCCAUCAGAGGCAAACUAGCACAGUGGCCAAGAGCACGAAUCUGGACUCUGGUUCAAGUUGGGGCUCUGCCACUUCUUCACUGUGUGAUUAGCUCCUAAGUCUCAGUUUCCUCGUCUGUGAGACAGGAUAAUAACAGUUCUACCUCAAAGGGCUGCUGUGAGGAUUAUGUGGCUUAACUUUUGUAAAGUGCUUUAGAACAGUGCCUGGCAUGUAACGAGCACUCAAUAGAUUUCAAUAUGCAUAGAAUAAUGUCUGGAAGGAUACAUGUCAUUAACAGUGUUUUCUGGAAGAUGAGAUUAUGGGAAGACUUUCAUUUUCUACUCCAUAUAUUUCUGUAUUGUCUGGAAAUUCACAGAGAUCAUUUAUUAAUUUUAUAAUCAGCAAUACAAUAAAAACUAAAUUUUUUUAGUCCCUGCUAAAGAAAAA